GUUAAGAACAGAACAACCUAUGUUUAAAUGUUAACUAGGUGACAUUAGCCCAACUCCAAGGUCAAGUGUUUGGGCGUGUACAACUCGAUCGCUAAAUGCCAAGUCUUUCAGAUCCCAAAGAAGGAUAAAAGAGCAAAUAUGGCGUGGCUCCAUUUGCAAGACACAGUUUCAUAACUACUUUUGUACGGUAGCUGUCAGAUACAUAUUCUCUUCCCUUGAAAUUUUUCUGGGUGAGACAGGGAUUCCACAGCCUGUCACUCCACCAGGACAGCUCCAUGUCUUAGGUCCGAAAGGCCUCUCUCGUCCCUAGAGCCAGAGUCCUAAAUAUCAGACAACAGCUUAUCGGCAAUCAGCUGUCUUCAAGGCAAAAGAAAGGACCAGCUAUGAACCUCAAGGUAUCAGCUUGAGACUAAGUGGCUGGAGAUUCGCAGUAUCAUUGUCAUACCCCAUUUUUUCCUCCCAAGACUCAAAAUAUCUAAUUUUUUUUGGCUUGACUCAAGGCGUCACUAACAUGAAAGGAAAGCCUGAAAGAAAUGAGCAGGCUAGCCAGAUGGGGUACAAUAUUCUUUUAUGAUCCUGGGCAGAAGCUGGAGCUGCAGUUCCCACUCAGCUAUGAAAUUAUGAGGGAAAACAACUAAUACUGGACAGCGCUGUGUGGAUGAGCUGAGUUUGGGUUGAAGAUGGAGCUCAGGGCCUCAUGCACAUUAGGUAAAUACUUCACCACUGACCGACACCCGCAGCCCUGCUUUGGGAUUCUGACGCAGUUUAUGAGGCCCUGUGGCAGAGGCAAGAGGCUGGAUCUCACAGUGGUGUACACCUUGGGUUGGAAUCCAGAUUCUACCACGUAUCCUCGUUUUAUCUUGAACAUAUUCAUAACCUUCUGAGACCUCGGUUUCUUUAUUCAUGUUACAAAAGAAUUAUUGUGGGGAUUUAAUAAGAUCAUGUAUGUAAAAACUUUUCCUAGUGCCAGCUUUGGCUGGCACUAGGAAACAGAGAGAAACAAUCAGGCCUCUAAACUCACCUGCUUUCUUAGCUCACAACCGUCUUCCUGCCUCUUGUCUUUCCGACUACCUUGAAUGCCCUGCAUAUGCAGCUAGAAACAUAGCUAAAACACUGCUGGGCACGCCACCUAACCCCAGUGCACAUAUUCAGCAGCUUUCCAGAUGUCAACGUAUUACCACUGAGCCUGGCACUCAGUGAUCUCUAAAAUCAACUUCCCAUCUCUCCCAAACUCUUGAAAUUUACUUUGACAAGGGCCCUACAUGUACCCAGUGCACCGUUCCAGGCAAGUGUCUCUGACCCAUGGUUCCCAAAAGCACAGUGUAAAACCUCAGCUCAAGCUCCUCUCUGCACAAGAAUGCUCUCUCCCUUUCCUCUACUGGCCUCAGUUCUACCUGCUCUGUAGUCAAAUCCCGAGUCCUCUUCUCUCAUC